rnacentral:piRNA from 1 species
UAGCACUGAGGAGCCAUGGGUUCUGGAC